rnacentral:tRNA from 1 species
GCCUGGGUGGCUCAGUCAGUUAAGCAUCUGACUUCAGCUCAGGUCAUUAUCUCACGAUUUGUGGGUUCGAGCCCCACGUCGGGCU